GAUUUCUUCGGAAUGAAACCUGAUAUGACUUAGUGGCGGACGGGUGAGUAACACGUGAGCAACCUGCCUUUCAGAGGGGGAUAACGGCUGGAAACGGUCGCUAAUACCGCAUGAUGUGUUCGGAUGGCAUCAUCUGAACAUCAAAGAUUUAUCGCUGAAAGAUGGGCUCGCGUCUGAUUAGAUAGUUGGUGGGGUAACGGCCUACCAAGUCUACGAUCAGUAGCCGGACUGAGAGGUUGAACGGCCACAUUGGGACUGAGAUACGGCCCAGACUCCUACGGGAGGCAGCAGUGGGGAAUAUUGCACAAUGGGGGAAACCCUGAUGCAGCAACGCCGCGUGAAGGAUGACGGUUUUCGGAUUGUAAACUUCUUUCUUAGUGACGAAGACAGUGACGGUAGCUAAGGAAUAAGCAUCGGCUAACUACGUGCCAGCAGCCGCGGUAAUACGUAGGAUGCAAGCGUUAUCCGGAUUUACUGGGUGUAAAGGGAGCGCAGGCGGGACUGCAAGUUGGAUGUGAAAUACCGUGGCUUAACCACGGAACUGCAUCCAAAACUGUAGUUCUUGAGUGAAGUAGAGGCAAGCGGAAUUCCGAGUGUAGCGGUGAAAUGCGUAGAUAUUCGGAGGAACACCAGUGGCGAAGGCGGCUUGCUGGGCUUUAACUGACGCUGAGGCUCGAAAGUGUGGGGAGCAAACAGGAUUAGAUACCCUGGUAGUCCACACUGUAAACGAUGAUAGCUAGGUGUGGGGGGUCUGACCCCUUCCGUGCCGGAGUUAACGCAAUAAGCUAUCCACCUGGGGAGUACGACCGCAAGGU
rnacentral:rRNA from 1 species